AGCUUAGAAACGCAUCAAAUGAUCGACUUGUUUCAGCGAAAGAAUGCUUCAAAGCCGCACGCGAAGGCGCGACUCGAGCGUUUUGUAACGAAGCCUUGGAAUUGUCCGAUAGAAUCAUGGCGGCAAACAUACGCGUCGUGUCCAAGAUUUUAGAAUGUCUUCAGGACACAAAAGCAGCCGCGUUUGGUUGCAUGUUGUGCUUGAAAGAGCUUAAUCAUCUGCCAGCCAUUGGAG